rnacentral:rRNA from 1 species
GACAGAGGGUGCAAACGUUGUUCGGAAUUACUGGGCGGCACGCGCGCGUCGGCUGCUCUCCCCUUCCUAUGUUAAAUCCCACGGCUCAACCAUGGAAGUGCAUUCGAAACUGCAGGGCUAGAGUUCUGGAGAGGAAGGUGGAAUGCUUGGUGUAGAGGUGAAAUUCGUAGAUAUCAAGCGGAACACCGGUGGCGAAGGCGGCCUUCUGGACAGUAACUGACGCUGAGACGCGAAAGCGUGGGGAGCAAACAGG